UACGUAGGAUCCAAGCGUUUGUCCGGAUUUACUGGGUGUAAAGGGUGCGCAGGCGGACUUAUAAGUCAGAGGUGAAAUCUCACAGCUUAACUGUGAAGCUGCCUUUGAUACUGUAGGUCUUGAAUUAGGGAGAGAUUCGUGGAAUUCCGAGUGUAGCAGUGAAAUGCGUAGAGAAUCGGAAAGAACACCAACGGCGAAAGCACUCUGCUGGGCCGACACUGACACUGAGAGACGAAAGCUAGGGGAGCGAAUGGG
rnacentral:rRNA from 1 species